CAGCAAACGGUGUAAAAGUGUUUGUGUAGUUGCCCAGAACAGGGCCAGUGAGAUGGUAGUGGACACACAAGUUCUAUUCCUGGAACCCAUAGAAAGAAGGAACUCAGGACUGAGAGCAUGCCAGGGAACUCACUGAACAUAGCCUUCCAGAGAAACUCUUGAACAUACCUAUGAGAAUAUGCAUCCAACGAGGUCCAAGGCAACUUCCUUUGUAAUAACAAAACAAAAGGAAAAUAAACGCAAAUGUUCAUGAAAAACAGAUUGGAAGAGGCCAAAUAUAAAGGUGGAAGUCAAGAGGUGAACUGAGAGAUGUAAACUGGCCUAGUCCACUGAGAAGAUCAAAGAGAAGAAAUUGAAG
ensembl:lncRNA